UAAAGGAGAAAGACCAUUUGUGGCUCACGUAGCAGUAUUAAUAGAUGGAUAAGCUUCCUAAAAGAUGCUGUGUUUUAUCUACUUAGGUCAUUUUCACUAAACCAGUUUAUCAAAUAUGUUUUAUGUUUUUAAGUUUUGACAUUUGGGCAAAGCUCUUUUAUGAGAAGUCAGAUGAGUAGUGUUAUUUGCUUUUAAAAAGAACAGCACAACAAAUCAGAUACUUGUGGGUUCUGGUUUUAAUAAAUUUGAACACAAGGCACAGGUUUCCAGGUGUAUGUAAAUACAUGUCCAUUUAAAAAUUUCUUCUUGCUUGUCCCAUCUCUAGUUCUCCUGGACAGGAAAGAAGGAAUGUUUAAACUUCUUGUUCAAGAAAGACUUCUUGGUGGCGGUCCUCUCCCAACUCAAGCUGUGGCUGCCUCCAGACGCUCUCAAGAUGGCGAUCUCUCUGUGUUCCAACACCUACAACAGGCAGAAUUGGGAGGAUGCGGACUUCCCUAUUCUGUGCCAGACGUGUCUUGGAGAAAACCCAUAUAUCCGAAUGACCAAAGAAAAGUAUGGGAAGGAAUGCAAAAUCUGUGCCAGGCCAUUCACAGUGUUUCGCUGGUGCCCUGGGGUCCGCAUGCGUUUCAAGAAGACUGAAGUGUGCCAGACCUGCAGUAAAUUGAAGAAUGUCUGUCAGACCUGCCUCUUAGACCUAGAGUAUGGCCUGCCCAUCCAGGUUCGUGAUGCAGGAUUGUCUUUUAAGGAUGACAUGCCAAAGUCUGACGUCAACAAAGAGUACUACACACAGAAUAUGGAGAGAGAGAUUUCCAACUCUGAUGGAACGCGGCCAGUUGGCAUGUUGGGGAAAGCCACAUCCACCAGUGACAUGCUGCUCAAACUGGCCCGGACCACACCCUACUACAAAAGGAAUCGACCGCACAUUUGCUCCUUCUGGGUGAAAGGAGAAUGUAAGAGAGGAGAGGAGUGUCCAUACAGACAUGAAAAACCAACAGAUCCAGAUGACCCCCUUGCUGAUCAGAAUAUUAAAGACCGAUAUUAUGGAAUCAAUGACCCUGUGGCAGAUAAACUCUUGAAGCGGGCUUCAACAAUGCCACGUCUGGACCCACCAGAGGACAAGACUAUCACCACACUGUAUGUUGGUGGUCUGGGCGAUACCAUUACUGAGACCGAUCUAAGGAAUCACUUCUACCAGUUUGGAGAGAUCCGGACCAUCACUGUUGUGCAAAGACAGCAGUGUGCUUUCAUCCAGUUUGCCACAAGGCAGGCUGCAGAAGUGGCUGCCGAGAAGUCCUUUAAUAAGUUGAUUGUCAAUGGCUGCAGGCUCAACGUGAAAUGGGGGAGGUCCCAGGCAGCCAGAGGGAAAGAAAAGGAGAAGGAUGGAACCACAGACUCUGCAAUCAAGCUUGAGCCCGUUCCAGGGCUCCCAGGAGCUCUUCCUCCUCCUCCUGCAGCAGAAGAAGCAGCCUCUGCCAACUACUUCAACCUACCGCCCGGUGGUCCUCCAGCUGUGGUGAACAUUGCCCUGCCACCCCCACCUGGUAUUGCCCCGCCCACACCCCCAGGUUUGGGGCCACACAUGUUCCACCCCAUGGGACCACCCUCUCCUUUCAUGAGAGCUCCAGGACCAAUCCACUAUCCUUCUCAGGACCCUCAGAGGAUGGGAGCACAUGCCGGGAAACACAGCAGCCCCUAGCACUCAUCACCACUCUGGGGCUCUACGGAAGAGAGGGCGCUUAAAAACCCUAGUAAAUGAAUCCCGGAAUAAAUAUAUUUUUCCUUCCUUUGUAGUUUCCAUGGUAGUGGAAUGUAUUCAGAUGUGGGCAGUUGGAGGACAGCCA